rnacentral:rRNA from 1 species
UGGGGAAUUUUGGACAAUGGGCGAAAGCCUGAUCCAGCAAUGCCGCGUGUGUGAAGAAGGCCUUCGGGUUGUAAAGCACUUUUGUCCGGAAAGAAAUCCUUGGCUCUAAUACAGUCGGGGGAUGACGGUACCGGAAGAAUAAGCACCGGCUAACUACGUGCCAGCAGCCGCGGUAAUACGUAGGGUGCAAGCGUUAAUCGGAAUUACUGGGCGUAAAGCGUGCGCAGGCGGUUUGCUAAGACCGAUGUGAAAUCCCCGGGCUCAACCUGGGAACUGCAUUGGUGACUGGCAGGCUAGAGUAUGGCAGAGGGUGGUAUGAUCCACGUGUAGCAGUGAAAUGCGUAGAGAUGUGGAGGAAUACCGAUGGCGAAGGCAGCCCCUGGGCCAAUACUGACGCUCAUGCACGAAAGCGUGGGGAGCAAACAGGAUUCAGAUACCCUGGUAGUCCACGCCCUAAACGAUGUCAACUAGUUGUUGGGGAUUCAUUUCCUUAGUAACGUAGCUAACGCGUGAAGUUGACCGCCUGGGGAGUAC